rnacentral:lncRNA from 1 species
AUUCACAAUGAUAAAGAAAUAAGGGAUGAUUUAGAAAUUGGCAUGUUGUAUAUACACCUAUCUAUAAUUGGUGAACACUAUAUAAUAUAAUUGCGAUGUUCCGCUUCAUUCUUAAACAAUGACCUAUUUAGAGCUAAUAUUAUAGAUGAUCCUUCUUGCCAUUGUGGGUCCGAUAUUGAGGAUGUCUACCAUUACUUCUUCGUUUGCCCAAAAUACACAUUAUGUAGAAAAACCUUAUUCCAUAACCUUAACUGGCUAUCUGAAAACUUUGUUUUAGAUACAAAACUAUUAAUUUGCGGACACUUGGAACUUUCGAACGAACAAAAUAUUCAAAUUUUCAAACAUGUUCAAAAUUUCAUAAAAAGGUCAAACAGAUUUCUUAUGCCUUGAUAGAGCGUUAUUAUUACUGACACUGAACGUCAUCAUUGCCAUCAAUUCACAAGUCAUCGUCACAGAAUUAUAC